CUCAAAUUUUUUGGUCGCCAUAGAAAUGGCGGGACUAGAGGCUGCACUCUCCCUCCUUCUGCGCCAUCCUUCUUCUUCGUCUAAAUCCGUCUCAUCUCCCAAACUACAACGGCAGUUCAUAAAUCUCCACAGCUCCAAUUCUUUCCUUCUCCCUUCCAAAAAUCUUCGUGUGUUUCCUCUCACCCACAGCCGCCCAUCAACUCGAAAG
rnacentral:misc_RNA from 1 species